UCAAGGCACUGGAACCAAAAUAUCAGCUUCAGGAGCCUUGGUUUUAUUUUUAGGAACCUCUUACGCUCCCUUUUUCUCAUCAGUUGAAGCAGGUUUUCACACAUCAUCUGCAUGGGAACGUUUGAAUUGCUUCACUGCAGCCACACUGGAGAUUUCAAUCAUGAACGGCCUGCUUAAGGUCAUCCCACAGCAGCCAGAUUGGAUUUGAUUCUGGACUUUGAUUAAGCCACUCUAACCCCCCCCAACACCAUUCAGAGGUAACCUUGCUGGAGUGCUAUGGACCUGCUAGAGACCAGAACUCCUAGUUCCAUCAAUUACAGCGAGUCACCCAAGUUGUGAAUCAUCAAAGGAACCAUCAGACCAUCGCUUAAACAACAUCGUGUCUGAUUUAGUAUGAUGUUCUUUUUCUGAAAUGCUCUUGAUUCAACACCAGAUGUAGAAAAAAAAAACGUUCUCUUAUUUUUUUCCUUUUUAAACGAACAAACAAUGAAAAAAAAAAAGAUAAAAUGGGGAUAAAAAGAAUUGUUCUGUUCUUGCCACAUCAGUCCAUAAAACAUUUUCCUGAAAGUA